rnacentral:tRNA from 1 species
GCGCUCGUAGCUCAGCUGGAUAGAGUACCGGAAUCCGAACCGCGCGGUCAGAGGUUCGAAUCCUCUCGGACGCGCCA